GAGUUCAAUUUUCUCUUUAAACAUUUUAAUUUUACUGGGUGGAGAAGGUGUAUGGUUUCAUGUCUUGAAUAAAUGAACCUGCCCCACACCUCUCUUUUUCUUUCUUCAAUUCCCCUCUAUUAUGGUCUGGGGUUUAUGUGGUUUGAGGGUAAAAAGCUUUAUUUUGAGGGGAAGUGCUGCUCAAAUUUUUUAUGAAGCUGGACUUAGUAAUUUUUCUGGAAUUUUGCCCCUGGAAGUUAUUUAUAUAAAUCAUUUUUGCAAUGAACACAAAGACAUCUAUACAUAAGGGACUUUUUAGUUUUGCAUCCAAAAGGGGAGGAUUCUUUUGUAAAUACUUAUUUGGUAGCAAUUAUAUAACCAUAAAUAAAAUUAGAAUUGAAAAAGUAAACAAAUGCAGUCACAAUGGUUCAUUCACAAAAAUAAUGUUUUACAAACUUAAAAUAUUAGUUUUCUUUAUUUUAUCAUCAGAAUUUCAUAUUUAAUAAGUCUUCUUUUGCAUGUGAUCAGAGACCAAGUGGUCUGAUACCUUACAUAUUUAGUCAUUUAAAACACCUAGAAUAAUGUGUAGAAUGCAGAAUAAUGCAUGAAGGCAAAAAAGAAAAUCAAGAAGGAGGGGGGGCACCCACCCUCAUUCCACAUUAUUAGAAAUAAAUAUGAGUCUGUGAUCUAUAAGAAAAUAGAUAAACAUGAAUUCACAAUCAUAUUAUAUAAAUAUAAAUUGAAAAAAUCAAUUGUAAUAAAAUUAUGAACUAAGUCUAAAUAGUUUAUAGUUUAUCUAAUUAACCAAUACAUGUGCCAUGAUGUGCAGAAUGACAUUUCAUAUCAUAUUUUUCAGGAAUGAUACAUGCAGGAAUUUGUGCCACACAUUUCAACAAUUUAUUUAAUGGAUUGAAUGUACUUUAUGUGAAUUCAUCAGCCAUACUUAAAAAGAAAAAGGAGAAUGAAACUGGAAAGAAAAUAUUUGCAGUUGCAAAAGAAUGCUGUAAAUAAAUUCAAAAGAAGAAACAGUUUUAAACAUGGUUAAUUUAAUGAAUAAUUGGAAGGUUGAAGCUAGUUUUGUUGCAGAAUGGCAAAUGUUUGGUACUGGUUGAAACUAUGAAAGUGAUACAGGUCCCAUGGUAAUCAUUUAACAGCAGGUUUUUAACAGCAGUUAUGCAGAAAAAUGAAGGAUGACUGUCAAUGGUAAAUACA